rnacentral:rRNA from 1 species
UGGGGGAUAUUGCACAAUGGGGGAAACCCUGAUGCAGCGACGCCGCGUGAGCGAUGAAGUAUUUCGGUAUGUAAAGCUCUAUCAGCAGGGAAGAAAAUGACGGUACCUGACUAAGAAGCCCCGGCUAACUACGUGCCAGCAGCCGCGGUAAUACGUAGGGGGCAAGCGUUAUCCGGAUUUACUGGGUGUAAAGGGAGCGUAGACGGCAGUGCAAGUCUGAAGUGAAAGGCAUGGGCUCAACCUGUGGACUGCUUUGGAAACUGUGCUGCUUGAGUGUCGGAGAGGCAAGUGGAAUUCCUAGUGUAGCGGUGAAAUGCGUAGAUAUUAGGAGGAACACCAGUGGCGAAGGCGGCUUGCUGGACGAUGACUGACGUUGAGGCUCGAAAGCGUGGGGAGCAAACAGG